rnacentral:rRNA from 1 species
AUUGAACGCUGGCGGCAUGCCUUACACAUGCAAGUCGAACGGCAGCACGGGAGCAAUCCUGGUGGCGAGUGGCGAACGGGUGAGUAAAGUAUCGGAACGUGCCCAGUCGUGGGGGAUAACGUAGCGAAAGUUACGCUAAUACCGCAUACGAUCUAUGGAUGAAAGCGGGGGAUCGCAAGACCUCGCGCGAUUGGAGUGGCCGAUAUCAGAUUAGGUAGUUGGUGGGGUAAAGGCUCACCAAGCCGACGAUCUGUAGCUGGUCUGAGAGGACGACCAGCCACACUGGGACUGAGACACGGCCCAGACUCCUACGGGAGGCAGCAGCGGGGAAUUUUGGACAAUGGGCGAAAGCCUGAUCCAGCCAUGCCGCGUGCAGGAUGAAGGCCUUCGGGUUGUAAACUGCUUUUGUACGGAACGAAAAGGUUUGGCCUAAUAAGCUGAGCUCAUGACGGUACCGUAAGAAUAAGCACCGGCUAACUACGUGCCAGCCGCCGCAGUAA